ensembl:lncRNA
GGCGAGACCAGAAGGCUGUAGUACGUGGUUACAGAGAGUUUUAGAUACUCUUGUCUACAAGGAUCCUAUUUUGCCACCCUGAGCGACGAUGGAACACCUUGGUGGUGAGUAGUGUGUUUUAUUGUUGAUUACGUGUUUUAGUAAAACAAGCAUUAUACUUACAAGUAUAUAUUCAUUAAGGUUUCUCAACGAUAUGACAGUCCAGAGGGGGGUUAACCAUCUAAAGCAUCGAUGAGGUCUAGUGAUUUUAUAAUUGUUUUAUUUUCUCCCAUCUUAACGUAUUUAAAUUGUAUUUACAUGUAUGCAAAUAUCUUUUAGAAAGCGACUGCAGACAGGAUCCUAAAGAUGGUGGAAGGCUAACUACAAAAAGCGUGGAAACAGGCCUGCAGACCGAGCUAAGAAACCUUCAAGAAAUACAAAAACAACUCCCAACAAGCAUUGAGUGGCUUACCACAACCCUCAACAAGUAAGCCGUCCUUGGAUGGUAAGGACGUGAACCGCAUGAUAUUAUAACAUUUGAGACCUUUCACCUACUUAUAGAACUUUUGUCAAACAUUCUCCAGGGUGUUCUCCAAAAGGACCAAAGUGGGUUAAACCCACAAUAAAAACGCCUGCGAUAGAGUCCACAUCCAAGGACAUGGCUGUGGUAUCCAUCAGAAGGCCCCGCGGUGUUUAAACCUCCAAUAAAAAGGCCCGCGUUAGCUCCCACCCGUCAGGACAC